rnacentral:rRNA from 1 species
UCCGAAAGGUGACGACCUUCGGGAGCCAUUACAGGUGUUGCAUGGCUGUCGUCAGCUCGUGUCGUGAGAUGUUCGGUUAAGUCCGCUAACGAGCGCAACCCUCGCUGUGUGUUAUAUGUGUCACACAGGACUGCUGGUAUUAAGCCGGAGGAAGUGGGGACGACGUCAAGUCAGCAUGACCUUUAUAUCCAGGGCUACACACACGCUACAAUGGUCAGUACAAUGGGUUGCCAAGCCGCGAGGCGGAGCCAAUCCUAAAAAGCUGGCCUCAGUUCAGAUUGCAGUCUGAAACUCGACUGCAUGAAGUCGGAGUUGCUAGUAAACGCAGGUCAGCUAUACUGCGUUGAAUACGUUCCCGGGCCUU